rnacentral:rRNA from 1 species
UACAGAGGGGGCAAGCGUUGUUCGGAAUUACUGGGCGUAAAGGGCGCGUAGGCGGCCUGCUAAGUCGAACGUGAAAUCCCCGGGCUCAACCCGGGAACUGCGUCCGAUACUGACAGGCUUGAAUCCGGGAGAGGGAUGUGGAAUUCCAGGUGUAGCGGUGAAAUGCGUAGAUAUCUGGAGGAACACCGGUGGCGAAAGCGGCGUACUGGGUCUUAUCUGACGCUGAGGCACGAAAGCUAGGGGAGCGAACGGG